rnacentral:misc_RNA from 1 species
UUAACUUAUUUGUAUAUUACUCGGACAACACAAAAAUCAAGAGUUUAGGGUUCUCUGGCAGGCACGGACCAGCCUAAGCCAGUGGUCAUAAGACGGGCCUGCCAAAGCAACAAAGGUAAUAUAAACAAAGGGUGGGAGAUCUACCCCAAAGGGCAAUUUCUCUGUAAUGAUCCUUCCGCAGGUUCACCUACGGAAA